UGUUAGCUAUGCGUUUGUCUAUAUUUGCACGUAAUAAUUUCAAUGUUAUCGAGAAAAUAUAUUUUUCACGAUACAUGGGAAAAACUUUAGACAACUAUGUGUCUCUCCCAUUCUCUCAGUCGUUCUAACACGCCCGAAGCGUGACAUAUCUAGUUAAUUAUAUCCAUAAAAAGAAAAACGUAUAAGCGUUAUCUCGUUAUCUCACCCUCGUUUCCUCGACUUUUUAUAUUUACGCCUUUGUAAAAAAAGCAUCGAGGACAAAAACAACUUACUUAAAGACAAUAGUUCUUUGACAAAGUUUGUAGACGUAGAUGGUAUCACCGGUGUCGAGCACGAAUCAACGGUAUCUUUAGAAACGCGAGUUCUUUUAUGGUACUCGUCCUUUCACGAGUUUAACACUUCUAUAGCUUCGGGGUGUUUUGCCCCCGGCCGAAUUUAAAACGGGUAACGGUCUGUGACCAAAACUAUUACGCAAGUAGUUAUGUAUCUCAGGUUGGCGUGGAAACUCGAAACAAUGUUGGUCGAAAGUUUUUCUUUCCUUUUUUUUUUUGUCUUUUUUUCUUUUUUUCUUUUCUUU